AACGAACGCUGGCGGCAUGCCUAACACAUGCAAGUCGAACGAGACCUUCGGGUCUAGUGGCGCACGGGUGCGUAACGCGUGGGAAUCUACCCUUGGGUUCGGAAUAACAGUUAGAAAUGACUGCUAAUACCGGAUGAUGACGUAAGUCCAAAGAUUUAUCGCCCAAGGAUGAGCCCGCGUAAGAUUAGCUUGUUGGGGGGGUAAUGGCCUACCAAGGCGACGAUCUUUAGCUGGUAUGAGAGGAUGAUCAGCCACACUGGGACUGAGACACGGCCCAGACUCCUACGGGAGGCAGCAGUGGGGAAUAUUGGACAAUGGGCGAAAGCCUGAUCCAGCAAUGCCGCGUGAGUGAUGAAGGCCUUAGGGUUGUAAAGCUCUUUUACCAGGGAUGAUAAUGACAGUACCUGGAGAAUAAGCUCCGGCUAACUCCGUGCCAGCCGCCGCUGUAA
rnacentral:rRNA from 1 species